rnacentral:rRNA from 1 species
GGGUGCGAUCAUCCCAGGAUUAAUGAACCGGAUCCCAUCAAAACUUCGCGGUUAAGCGUUCUUAGGCGAGAGUAGUACUAGGAUGGGUGACUUCCUGGGAAGUCCUCGUGUUGCACCCC